GUGUACAGAAAGGACAUCACACCUGCGAUCUUUGCAUCUCCAUACAGUGGAACUCGCUGCCCAUUUGCCUGCCGUUGGAUGGAAGCAGAUCUUUGCGUCACCGUAGAGUAGAACUCGCUACCCAUUUGCCUGCCGUUCACAGACUGAAGCACAGACCCGUGUACAGAAAGGACAUCACACCUGCGAUCUUUGCAUCUCCAUACAGUGGAACUCGCUGCCCAUUUGCCUGCCGUUGGAUGGAAGCAGAUCUUUGCGUCACCGUAGAGUAGAACUCGCUACCCAUUUGCCUGCCGUUCACAGACUGAAGCACAGACCCGUGUACAGAAAGGACAUCACACCUGCGAUCUUUGCAUCUCCAUACAGUGGAACUCGCUGCCCAUUUGCCUGCCGUUGGAUGGAAGCAGAUCUUUGCAUCACCGUAGAGUAGAACUCGCUACCCAUUUGCCUGCCGUUCACAGACUGAA